GUGAGGCGCUGCGGGGUCUGAGGGUGGGCUUUCGUCUGUCAAGAGCUCUGGGGUGGCGGGGGCUCCCACCCUAACGGCUGCCUCCGCUCCAACGGCUGUCCGGGCUCUCUGAGCCUUACCUUGUCCUCAUAAGCGUUGGUGCAGGAUUGUGUGGGCAACCCCAGCGGCUCCAGAGCCGUGUGGACCCACCGCGGCGUGAGGAGCAACGGGACAGCUAAGGCCUGUGGUAACAGGGGUGAACCUGCCUCUUCAGAGGGACUGGACUCCCAUGACCUCGGUAUCUGGCAGCCACAGACGUCAGUAGUGGGACAGGGCUGAACUGGCUUGGCCUGGUGAGGCUCAGCUUGCAGGAGGCUCUAAGGAACCACAUCCCCUAGUCAGUCAGGACCAGCCGCUGGCCACCAGCAACACAAAACUGCAAGGAGUGGAAAACCUGCUGAGAUCUGCGCUUGAACUGCUGCUGUCUCUCCCUCACCACUGCCACGUUUUCACCCGAGGUGGGGCUGACUCACUCGCAAGCAGGCUCUCCGGCUGGCAGCCAAGGAGUGAGCACAGGCAGGUUUCCUGCCACCGCUGUGAGAAGAGCCUUCCACACUCUGAACGGUCUGUGAGCAGGAAGAAGGGGAUCUUGGCAGGGACUCCAGAGCCUCCUUUUCUCAUCCCUGUUUCCAUGAAGUUUUGCAAGGGUGGCCUGCAUUUGUUGCUCCCUGUUGGCUUUGUCACAUUGCCUGCUCCCCAAGUUUCAGGCUGCCAGCAUCUCUCCCCUGGAUGACUUGGCUCAUGUUAUUUUGUGUUAAAACUGGUUUGAAAUUGGAAAUACAUAUGUCUGGAUGACUGCGAGAUGAACAACAAAUAGGAGCAGCAGCAUGCAAAAAUACAGAGAAGCAGAGGCAUUAGUGCAAGUAUUUCUGCUCUAGCAGCUAUUAAAAGUCGGUUUGGGUUUUUUACACAGUUUGGAAAAAGAACCCAUAUGUUUAUAGGAUUCCUCCCCUCCAAUUAAAACGUGACAGAAAGGACACCCGGUUCAACACCAGCAGCAUCUUCACAACCUGCCCAGCGUCACUCCCCCAUGCCAUGAGGACGUCACCCUCCUGCCCCCUGCAUUGGGACUGUGCCCACAGGGAGUGGAGAGAUAUUUUAUAGAGGAUAUGACAAAGCUAUGAAAAGAAAAAAACGUUGCACUGGAACUACAAAAAAGGAAAAAAACAACUCUACCAGCAGACUGGAAGUGGAUCUGUGUUUGUGUGUGGGGAGUGUGUUUUUCGACGGGCUGACGACACCCUCACCCUCCUCCCCAUCCUGCUGGAGCCUCUCUCUGCCUCUGCACAUGAAGAGCCAAUGUGACACAGCAGAUCAUCAGUCCUGGGUGAUGCAGAUGUGUGACCUGUGCUGGCCCAGGGCUUUCUGCAGGUUUUUAACUCCUUUUUCAACAUGCGUAUGUGCCCAGACCUUGUUCCACCUGAAGUCAGCAGAAAAAAGGCCCAGUAAAUUACUUGACAAAUGAA